rnacentral:rRNA from 1 species
AUGAACGCUAGCGACAGGCUUAACACAUGCAAGUCGAGGGGCAGCACAGGUAGCAAUACCGGGUGGCGACCGGCGCACGGGUGAGUAACGCGUAUGCAACUUACCUAUCAGAGGGGGAUAACCCGGCGAAAGUCGGACUAAUACCGCAUGAAGCAGGGGCCCCGCAUGGGGAUAUUUGCUAAAGAUUCAUCGCUGAUAGAUAGGCAUGCGUUCCAUUAGGCAGUUGGCGGGGUAACGGCCCACCAAACCGACGAUGGAUAGGGGUUCUGAGAGGAAGGUCCCCCACAUUGGUACUGAGACACGGACCAAACUCCUACGGGAGGCAGCAGUGAGGAAUAUUGGUCAAUGGCCGAGAGGCUGAACCAGCCAAGUCGCGUGAGGGAUGAAGGUUCUAUGGAUCGUAAACCUCUUUUAUAAGGGAAUAAAGUGCGGGACGUGUCCCGUUUUGUAUGUACCUUAUGAAUAAGGAUCGGCUAACUCCGUGCCAGCAGCCGCGGUAAUACGGAGGAUCCGAGCGUUAUCCGGAUUUAUUGGGUUUAAAGGGUGCGUAGGCGGCCUUUUAAGUCAGCGGUGAAAGUCUGUGGCUCAACCAUAGAAUUGCCGUUGAAACUGGGGGGCUUGAGUAUGUUUGAGGCAGGCGGAAUGCGUGGUGUAGCGGUGAAAUGCAUAGAUAUCACGCAGAACCCCGAUUGCGAAGGCAGCCUGCCAAGCCAUGACUGACGCUGAUGCACGAAAGCGUGGGGAUCAAACAGGAUUAGAUACCCUGGUAGUCCACGCAGUAAACGAUGAUCACUAGCUGUUUGCGAUACACUGUAAGCGGCACAGCGAAAGCGUUAAGUGAUCCACCUGGGGAGUACGCCGGCAACGGUGAAACUCAAAGGAAUUGACGGGGGCCCGCACAAGCGGAGGAACAUGUGGUUUAAUUCGAUGAUACGCGAGGAACCUUACCCGGGUUUGAACGCAUUCGGACCGAGGUGGAAACACCUUUUCUAGCAAUAGCCGUUUGCGAGGUGCUGCAUGGUUGUCGUCAGCUCGUGCCGUGAGGUGUCGGCUUAAGUGCCAUAACGAGCGCAACCCUUGCCACUAGUUACUAACAGGUAAAGCUGAGGACUCUGGUGGGACUGCCAGCGUAAGCUGCGAGGAAGGCGGGGAUGACGUCAAAUCAGCACGGCCCUUACAUCCGGGGCGACACACGUGUUACAAUGGCGUGGACAAAGGGAGGCCACCUGGUGACAGGGAGCGAAUCCCCAAACCACGUCUCAGUUCGGAUCGGAGUCUGCAACCCGACUCCGUGAAGCUGGAUUCGCUAGUAAUCGCGCAUCAGCCAUGGCGCGGUGAAUACGUUCCCGGGCCUUGUACACACCGCCCGUCAAGCCAUGGGAGCCGGGGGUACCUGAAGUCCGUAACCGAGAGGAUCGGCCUAGGGUAAAACUGGUGACUGGGGCU